rnacentral:lncRNA from 1 species
UAUAAUAAAAUAAACAAAAAAACACUAUUGUAAACAUAAUAUUCGAAUUCGAAUUUGAAUUCAAAAUAUUCUAAUGCAACCCUAUCUGAAUCCGAAUUCGAAAAUAUUGUGAAUAUAAUAUCUGAAUCCGAAUCCGAAUUCGACCGAAUGUAUAAUUUUGACAUCCUUAUAUUCGCACUCAAUCAAAUUCAAUGUCGAAUUC